CACGGGUGAGUAACACGUAUCCAACUGCCGUCUACUCUUGGACAGCCUUCUGAAAGGAAGAUAAUACAGGAUGGCAUCAUGAGUCCGCAUGUUCACAUGAUUAAAGGUAUUCCGGUAGACGAUGGGGAUGCGUUCCAUUAGAUAGUAGGCGGGGUAACGGCCCACCUAGUCUUCGAUGGAUAGGGGUUCUGAGAGGAAGGUCCCCCACAUUGGAACUGAGACACGGUCCAAACUCCUACGGGAGGCAGCAGUGAGGAAUAUUGGUCAAUGGACGCGAGUCUGAACCAGCCAAGUAGCGUGAAGGAUGACUGCCCUAUGGGUUGUAAACUUCUUUUAUAAAGGAAUAAAGUCGGGUAUGUAUACCCGUUUGCAUGUACUUUAUGAAUAAGGAUCGGCUAACUCCGUGCCAGCAGCCGCGGUAAUACGGAGGAUCCGAGCGUUAUCCGGAUUUAUUGGGUUUAAAGGGAGCGUAGAUGGAUGUUUAAGUCAGUUGUGAAAGUUUGCGGCUCAACCGUAAAAUUGCAGUUGAUACUGGAUAUCUUGAGUGCAGUUGAGGCAGGCGGAAUUCGUGGUGUAGCGGUGAAAUGCUUAGAUA
rnacentral:rRNA from 1 species